AGUUGAAGCUAGUGUAAGAACUAGUGGAGGACUGAACCCAUAGGCGUUGAAAAGCCCCGGGAUGACUUGUGGAUAGGGGUGAAAGGCCAAUCAAACUUCGUGAUAGCUGGUUCUCUCCGAAAUAUAUUUAGGUAUAGCGUUGUGUCGUAAUAUAAGGGGGUAGAGCACUGAAUGGGCUAGGGCAUACACCAAUGUACCAAACCCUAUCAAACUCCGAAUACCUUAUAUGUAAUCACAGCAGUCAGGCGGCGAGUGAUAAAAUCCGUCGUCAAGAGGGAAACAACCCAGACUACCAGCUAAGGUCCCUAAGUCUUACUUAAGUGGAAAACGAUGUGAAGUUACUUAAACAACCAGGAGGUUGGCUUAGAAGCAGCCAUCCUUUAAAGAAAGCGUAAUAGCUCACUGGUCUAGUGAUUUUGCGCGGAAAAUAUAACGGGGCUAAAGUAAGUACCGAAGCUGUAGACUUAGUUUACUAAGUGGUAGGAGAGCGUUCUAUUUGCGUCGAAGGUAUACCGGUAAGGAGUGCUGGAGCGAAUAGAAGUGAGCAUGCAGGCAUGAGUAGCGAUAAUUAAUGUGAGAAUCAUUAACGCCGUAAACCCAAGGUUUCCUACGCGAUGCUCGUCAUCGUAGGGUUAGUCGGGUCCUAAGUCGAGUCCGAAAGGGGUAGACGAUGGCAAAUUGGUUAAUAUUCCAAUACCAACAUUAGUGUGCGAUGGAAGGACGCUUAGGGCUAAGGGGGCUAGCGGAUGGAAGUGCUAGUCUAAGGUCGUAGGAGGUUAUACAGGCAAAUCCGUAUAACAAUACUCCGAGAACUGAAAGGCUUUUUGAAGUCUUCGGAUGGAUAGAAGAACCCCUGAUGCCGUCGAGCCAAGAAAAGUUUCUAAGUUUAGCUAAUGUUGCCCGUACCGUAAACCGACACAGGUGGGUGGGAUGAGUAUUCUAAGGCGCGUGGAAGAACUCUCUUUAAGGAACUCUGCAAAAUAGCACCGUAUCUUCGGUAUAAGGUGUGGUUAGCUUUGUAUUAGGAUUUACUCCGAAAGCAAGGAAACUUACAACAAAGAGUCCCUCCCGACUGUUUACCAAAAACACAGCACUCUGCUAACUCGUAAGAGGAUGUAUAGGGUGUGACGCCUGCCCGGUGCUCGAAGGUUAAUUGAUGGGGUUAGCAUUAGCGAAGCUCUUGAUCGAAGCCCGAGUAAACGGCGGCCGUAACUAUAACGGUCCUAAGGUAGCGAAAUUCCUUGUCGGUUAAAUACCGACCUGCAUGAAUGGCGUAACGAGAUGGGAGCUGUCUCAAAGAGGGAUCCAGUGAAAUUGUAGUGGAGGUGAAAAUUCCUCCUACCCGCGGCAAGACGGAAAGACCCCGUGGACCUUUACUACAGCUUGACACUGCUACUUGGAUAAGAAUGUGCAGGAUAGGUGGGAGGCUUUGAGUAUAUGACGCCAGUUGUAUAUGAGCCAUUGUUGAGAUACCACUCUUUCUUAUUUGGGUAGCUAACCAGCUUGAGUUAUCCUCAAGUGGGACAAUGUCUGGUGGGUAGUUUGACUGGGGCGGUCGCCUCCCAAAUAAUAACGGAGGCUUACAAAGGUUGGCUCAGAACGGUUGGAAAUCGUUCGUAGAGUAUAAAGGUAUAAGCCAGCUUAACUGCAAGACAUACAAGUCAAGCAGAGACGAAAGUCGGUCUUAGUGAUCCGGUGGUUCUGUGUGGAAGGGCCAUCGCUCAAAGGAUAAAAGGUACCCCGGGGAUAACAGGCUGAUCUCCCCCAAGAGCUCACAUCGACGGGGAGGUUUGGCACCUCGAUGUCGGCUCAUCGCAUCCUGGGGCUGGAGCAGGUCCCAAGGGUAUGGCUGUUCGCCAUUUAAAGCGGUACGCGAGCUGGGUUCAGAACGUCGUGAGACAGUUCGGUCCCUAUCUGCCGUGGGCGUAAGAAGAUUGAAGAGAUUUGACCCUAGUACGAGAGGACCGGGUUGAACAAACCACUGGUGUAGCUGUUGUUCUGCCAAGAGCAUCGCAGCGUAGCUAAGUUUGGAAAGGAUAAACGCUGAAAGCAUCUAAGCGUGAAGCCAACUCUAAGAUGAAUCUUCUCUAAGCUCUCUAGAAGACUACUAGUUUGAUAGGCUGGGUGUGUAAUGGAUGAAAGUCCUUUAGCUGACCAGUACUAAUAGAGCGUUUGGCUUAUCUUUAAUAAAGCAU
rnacentral:rRNA from 1 species